AGCAUUUGAGGAUAGAAAUGGCAGCUAUCACCCAUUGUUAGGAGAUACAGGAAGGUCAACCUGUCUUAUGCU
rnacentral:ncRNA from 12 species